rnacentral:rRNA from 1 species
GCCACUGCUAUUGGGGUUCGGCUAAGCCAUGCGAGUGGAGGGCGUCCCGCAAGGGAUGGCCCCGCAGACGGCUCAGUAACACGUCGUCAACCCACCUUAGGGUGGGGGACAACCUCGGGAAACUGAGGAUAAUCCCCCAUAGGCGGGGGAGGCUGGAAUGCGCCCCCGCUGAAAGCUCUGGCGCCCUAGGACGGGACGGCGGCCUAUCAGGUAGUUGGUGGUGUGACG